AUUGAACGCUGGCGGCAGGCCUAACACAUGCAAGUCGAGCGGAUGAAGGGAGCUUGCUCCUGGAUUCAGCGGCGGACGGGUGAGUAAUGCCUAGGAAUCUGCCUGGUAGUGGGGGAUAACGUCCGGAAACGGGCGCUAAUACCGCAUACGUCCUGAGGGAGAAAGUGGGGGAUCUUCGGACCUCACGCUAUCAGAUGAGCCUAGGUCGGAUUAGCUAGUUGGUGGGGUAAAGGCCUACCAAGGCGACGAUCCGUAACUGGUCUGAGAGGAUGAUCAGUCACACUGGAACUGAGACACGGUCCAGACUCCUACGGGAGGCAGCAGUGGGGAAUAUUGGACGAUGGGCGAAAGCCUGAUUCAGCCAUGCCGCGUGUGUGAAGAAGGUCUUCGGAUUGUAAAGCACUUUAAGUUGGGAGGAAGGGCAGUAAGUUAAUACCUUGCUGUUUUGACGUUACCAACAGAAUAAGCACCGGCUAACUUCGUG
rnacentral:rRNA from 1 species